ACAGGCUUAACACAUGCAAGUCGAGGGGAAACGACAUUGAAAGCUUGCUUUUGAUGGGCGUCGACCGGCGCACGGGUGAGUAACGCGUAUCCAACCUGCCCACCACUUGGGGAUAACCUUGCGAAAGUAAGACUAAUACCCAAUGAUAUCUCUAGAAGACAUCUGAAAGAGAUUAAAGAUUUAUCGGUGAUGGAUGGGGAUGCGUCUGAUUAGCUUGUUGGCGGGGUAAUGGCCCACCAAGGCAACGAUCAGUAGGGGUUCUGAGAGGAAGGUCCCCCACAUUGGAACUGAGACACGGUCCAAACUCCUACGGGAGGCAGCAGUGAGGAAUAUUGGUCAAUGGGCGAGAGCCUGAACCAGCCAAGUAGCGUGCAGGAAGACGGCCCUAUGGGUUGUAAACUGCUUUUAUAAGGGAAUAAAGUGAGUCUCGUGAGACUUUUUGCAUGUACCUUAUGAAUAAGGACCGGCUAAUUCCGUGCCAGCAGCCGCGGUAAUACGGAAGGUCCGGGCGUUAUCCGGAUUUAUUGGGUUUAAAGGGAGCGUAGGCCGGAGAUUAAGCGUGUUGUGAAAUGUAGAUGCUCAACAUCUGAACUGCAGCGCGAACUGGUUUCCUUGAGUACGCACAAAGUGGGCGGAAUUCGUGGUGUAGCGGUGAAAUGCUUAGAUAUCACGAAGAACUCCGAUUGCGAAGGCAGCUCACUGGAGCGCAACUGACGCUGAAGCUCGAAAGUGCGGGUAUCGAACAGGAUUAGAUACCCUGGUAGUCCGCACGGUAAACGAUGGAUGCCCGCUGUUGGUCUGAAUAGGUCAGCGGCCAAGCGAAAGCAUUAAGCAUCCCACCUGGGGAGUACGCCGGCAACGGUGAAACUCAAAGGAAUUGACGGGGGCCCGCACAAGCGGAGGAACAUGUGGUUUAAUUCGAUGAUACGCGAGGAACCUUACCCGGGCUUGAAUUGCAGAGGAAGGAUUUGGAGACAAUGACGCCCUUCGGGGCCUCUGUGAAGGUGCUGCAUGGUUGUCGUCAGCUCGUGCCGUGAGGUGUCGGCUUAAGUGCCAUAACGAGCGCAACCCCUCUCCUUAGUUGCCAUCAGGUUAAGCUGGGCACUCUGGGGACACUGCCACCGUAAGGUGUGAGGAAGGUGGGGAUGAC
rnacentral:rRNA from 1 species